rnacentral:misc_RNA from 1 species
GGACUUGGCAGACAAACUGCAAUACAGUGAAUCUUCACUGGAGAUAAAAGAAGCAUUGGCUGAAGCUGGUGCCAAAUAUGCAAGGCAUGUUGGACAAGUUGAUGAAGCAAUGGAGCUCAAACGGACAGUCAGUGAUAUUAAGCACGAGGUUCACUCGCAACUUAUCCAAAACGAAAAAACGCGUAGGAGAGUUUCUGGCAUUGUCAAAGAAUUGAAGAAGCUCCACAGAGAGGCUGUUCAGAAUACCACAAAUUCCAUCACGGUUGUGGCUGUUCUUUUCGCAUCCAUUGCAUUCCUGGCCAUCUUCAAUUUACCGGGUCAGUACAUACAAAAAGGAACAGACGUCGGAAAGGCAAAUAUAGCUGAUAACAUGGGUUUCCAAGUAUUCUGCCUUUUAAACACCACAUCUCUGUUUAUAUCUUUAGCUGUUGUGGUGGUUCAAAUUACUUUGGUAGCAUGGGACACGACAGCCCAAAAGCAGGUUGUAUCGGUUGUAAACAAGCUAAUGUGGGCUGCCUGUGCUUGCACCUCCGGGGCUUUCAUAUCAAUAGCUUAUGUUGUCGUAGGGCAUGAAACAUGGAUGGCUCUUGCCAUUACCCUCGUCGGAGUUCCAAUUCUAGUUGCAACUCUUGCAAGCAUGUGCUACUUGGUUUUUCGACAACAUUUCGGUAUCUUUAGCAGUGACUCUCAAAGACGAAUCAGACGGGCAAGUGGAAGCAAGUCUUUCUCGUGGCCUCACUCGGUUAAUAUAUCUGAUGACGAAGACUACAACUCCGACCUUGAGAAGAUUUACGCCCUAUAGAUACCCUUUCAGCAGUUUCAAGCCUGAAAGGAUGGUUUUCCUGCACAUAGUUAUAUAGAUAUGUCGUAAUGAAGAUCUGGAGGGUUACCUCGUCAUGUUCAGUAGGACUCGAUGCGAGUACUAGUACAAUAACG